GAUGAACGCUGGCGGCGUGCCUAAUACAUGCAAGUCGAGCGAACGGACGAGAAGCUUGCUUCUCUGAUGUUAGCGGCGGACGGGUGAGUAACACGUGGAUAACCUACCUAUAAGACUGGGAUAACUUCGGGAAACCGGAGCUAAUACCGGAUGAUAUAUUGAACCGCAUGGUUCAAAAGUGAAAGACGGUCUUGCUGUCACUUAUAGAUGGAUCCGCGCUGCAUUAGCUAGUUGGUAAGGUAACGGCUUACCAAGGCAACGAUGCAUAGCCGACCUGAGAGGGUGAUCGGCCACCCUGGAACUGAGACGCGGUCCAGACUCCUACGGGAGGCAGCAGUAGGGAAUCUUCCGCAAUGGGCGAAAGCCUGACGGAGCAACGCCGCGUGAGUGAGGAAGGUCUUCGGAUCGUAAAACUCUGUUAUUAGGGAAGAACAUAUGUGUAAGUAACUGUGAGCAUCUUGACGGUACCUAAUCAGAAAGCCACGGCUACCUACUU
rnacentral:rRNA from 1 species